rnacentral:rRNA from 1 species
UGGGGAAUUUUGGACAAUGGGGGAAACCCUGAUCCAGCGAUGCCGCGUGAGUGAUGAAGGCCUUCGGGUUGUAAAACUCUUUCGGACGGGGCGAAAUCUUUAUGGUGAAUAGCCAUGGAGGAUGACAGUACUGUAAGAAGAAGCACCGGCUAACUACGUGCCAGCAGCCGCGGUAAUACGUAGGGUGCAAGCGUUAAUCGGAAUUACUGGGCGUAAAGCGUCCGCAGGUGGUUUAGUAAGUCUGAUGUGAAAUCCCCGAGCUUAACUUGGGAAUUGCAUUGGAAACUAUUAAACUAGAGUGUGACAGAGGGGGUAGAAUUCCGCAUGUAGCAGUGAAAUGCGUAGAGAUG